UCUUAGAAUUUAGAACUUCUAUAUCUUCCAAGCAACUAACUCAGCAGCUGCUAGAGGAUAAAAGACCUGAGACUUGAAGAAACACUAUUAUCUUAGUAUUUACAUUGAAACCCAGCAGACUCCUUGAGGAAAUAUGAGUCUACUCAACCUUAUUCAGAGCUACAUCACAGGACUGAAGGAAUAGUCUAAACUGGGAUGUGGAGCUUAAAACUAACAUGGUAAAACUCAUGAGAGAGAAGUGUGAAGCCUUUCAUUUUGGCGGAGGAUCAAUUACACAAGUAAAGGCUGGGGCAACUGCUGCUUGACACAGAUGAUGGAUGUUGGCUGAGCCUGUCAUGGUGGUCAUUUGGAAGCCUAUGUAAAUCGAGCCAUCACACUGUAUACCUUAAACUUGUAUGGAUGAAAGCUAAGGCCAGUAGAUGAAACUACCAGGAAGUUGGACUUCAGCAGAGUGUGAAAUAAGAACUUCUCAAAAAAGUAUGUUAAUCCAACAAUGAACUUCAAUAAAGCACACACUGCUCUCAUCUUGACUCCGUCAUAUAUUGCAUGUUUUUCACAUGCUUAAAAGCAUAGAAAAAUGCCUUAUGAAAACAGAGCAACUUAGCUUAAAAAAAAGGUUAGCCAACAGACUAAAAUUAACUGGCCCUGAUUCCAGAGAAUAGGAAUAACCUAUAAUCACUGGGACUGGCAAAUAGUCACCUACAAUAAAUAUUUGUUGAAUAAAUGUAAGCACUAUCAAGACAAAUACAUGUCCAUCUUCUUCAAACAGGAACAAGAGGGGUAUUGUCUGAAUUUUCAUUCUACCAGAAAAGUCAACAAAUAAAUACAUAAUAUAAAUGUUAAGUGGUCAUAACUUCCAUGAAUAAAUAUACAAAUGCAUGAGGGGACAAAGAAUUAAGUGUGAUUAAUAUUGUUUCACUUGUUUUGCAGCUGAGAGACUACUUUGAGAGGAGACACUUGAGCAGAGGCCUACAUAAAGUGAAGCAGUGUAUUAGAGUUAUCAGUUGCGUGUAACAAAUUACCCCAGAACUAACUGCCUUAAAAUGAAACCUUUGCUAUCUCGAUGUUUCAGAUGCCUGCACCGGUGCAUGGGUUCAGCUGGUUCCAGUGUCCCUGGCUCAGCAUCUCCUGCCAGGCUGCAAACAGGAUGUCCUCUGGGACUGCAGUCAUUGCAAAGCCCAACAGGGAAGGAUCGACUUCCAGUCUCACUCAGAUGGUUGUUGGCAGGAUUCAGUGGCUCCUCGGUUGUUGGAAUGACUGUCUCAGUUCAGACUGGCUGUUGGCCAAGAGUCCACCUUCAGGGAUCCCUGGGUGGCGCAGCGGUUUGGCGCCUGCCUUUGACCCAGGGCGUGAUCCUGGAGACCCGGGAUCGAAUGCCACGUCGGGAUCCCAGUGCAUGGAGCCUGCUUCUCCCUCUGCC